rnacentral:rRNA from 1 species
GACGAACGCUGGCGGCGUGCCUAACACAUGCAAGUCGAACGGAAAGGUCCGGCUUAUGUGGGGAGCUCGAGUGGCGAACGGGGGAGUAACACGUGAGUAACCUGUCCCUGACCGUGGGAUAACCUCAUAAAACUGGGGCUAAUACCGGCUAGGAGCUCCUGCUGCAUGGUGGGGGUUGGUUGGUUUCGGUGGUUGGGGGGGGACUCGCGGCCUAUGAGCUUGUUGGUGGGGUAGUGGCUUACCAAGGCCUUGACGGGUAGCAGGGCUGGGAGGGUGAGAGGCCACAUUGGGACGGGGAUACGGCCCAGACUCGUACGGGAGGCAAGGGUGGGGAAUAGUGUACUAGAGGCUGGACGCUAGUGUAGUCACGCCGCGUCGGGUAUGAGAGCAAUCGGGUUGUAUAGCGCAUUCGCCUGUGACGGGACGUGAGUGACGGUAAUGGGUAAAGAAGCACCGGCUAACUACGUG